rnacentral:rRNA from 1 species
UACGUAGGGUGCAAGCGUUGUCCGGAAUUAUUGGGCGUAAAGAGCUCGUAGGCGGUUUGUCGCGUCUGCUGUGAAAACGCGAGGCUCAACCUCGCGCCUGCAGUGGGUACGGGCAGACUAGAGUGCGGUAGGGGAGAUUGGAAUUCCUGGUGUAGCGGUGGAAUGCGCAGAUAUCAGGAGGAACACCGAUGGCGAAGGCAGAUCUCUGGGCCGUAACUGACGCUGAGGAGCGAAAGCGUGGGAGCGAACAGGA